UACACUCACUCACUCCUUCCACUUCCACUCUUCCAUGGCUUUCUUCUUCUUCCUCCUCCUCCUCCUCCUCUCCCCCGCGGCCGCCGCCGCCUCCUGGCCGCCCUCCCCCGGAUUCUGGCCGAGCACCCACGUCCGCUCCAUGGAAUUCUACAAAGGCUUCCGCAACCUCUGGGGCCCUCAACACCAAAGCCUUUCUCAAGACACUCUUUCCAUUUGGCUCGAUCGCACCACCGGAAGUGGAUUCAAGUCCCUCCGCCCUUUCCGAUCAGGAUACUUCAGCGCCUCCAUUAAACUCCAACCCGGCUAUACCGCCGGCGUCAUCACCGCCUUCUAUCUCUCCAACAACGAAGCUCACCCAGGAUUCCACGACGAGGUCGACAUCGAAUUCUUAGGAACCACAUUCGGUAAGCCUUAUACAUUACAAACCAAUGUUUACAUCAGAGGAACCGGCGAUGGUCGAAUCAUCGGAAGAGAAAUGAAAUUCCAUCUCUGGUUCGACCCCACUAAAGAUUUUCACAAUUACGCCAUUCUAUGGCGCCCAAACGAAAUCAUAUUUCUCGUCGACGACAUACCCAUCAGAAGGUACCCAAGGAAGAGCGCUGCGACAUUCCCACUAAGGCCAAUGUGGGUUUAUGGCUCGAUAUGGGACGCAUCUUCAUGGGCCACAGAGGAUGGGAAAUACAGAGCGGAUUACAGAUACCAACCAUUUGUGGCUAAGUAUAGGAAUUUCAAAGCGAGGGGUUGUUCGGCGUACUCGCCGGCGUGGUGCCAGCCGGUAUCGGCGUCGCCGUUCCGGUCAGGGGGGCUGAGUAGGCAACAGGAGAAUGCAAUGAAAUGGGUACAGAGCCAUCAGUUGGUUUAUAACUAUUGUUGGGAUAACAAGAGAGACCAUUCCUUAACACCAGAGUGUUGGCAUUAGAAUUUCGCGGGGGAUUGAGCUUUAUCAUGCACUGAAAGUGAAAACUCCAUUAAAUUUUUGCUGUUUUUUUUUUGGAUUUGGUGAUUUUAUUAUUGGUUUGAAAAAUUAUAUUUGGAAAGAUGUUGACAAAUGGGGGGGUCCCACGUGGAAAAAUGGCCUAGAAAAGGAACAGAUGCAAGCAUUUUUUUGACCUUAUAGCGUCCGAAAUCCCCUGUGAUCCGAACAGCAACAAAAAAAAAAAAAUAAUAAUAAUAAAUUAAUAUUGUGCGGUGUUUUAUUUUAUUUUA